rnacentral:rRNA from 1 species
UACUGAGGGUGCGAGCGUUAAUCGGAAUUACUGGGCGUAAAGGGCGCGUAGGCGGACAAUUAAGUCGGAUGUGAAAUCCCUGGGCUUAACCUGGGAAUGGCAUACGAUACUGGUUGUCUAGAGUUGAGUAGAGGGAAGUGGAAUUUCCGGUGUAGCGGUGAAAUGCGUAGAUAUCGGAAGGAACACCAGUGGCGAAGGCGGCUUCCUGGACUCAAACUGACGCUGAGGCGCGAAAGCGUGGGGAUCAAACAGG